GUUUGCAUUGUAUUGUCGAUUAAGGUAUGAAAAAUAAUACGAAGAAAUGGGACAUCACUAGUAUCAGCAUUCAUUGAUUCUCACAGACAACAGCUUAAUAGAUUUGUUGAAGUUAUAUUGGUACUUUUACAGUCCAAGUCCAAGCCAAAAUUCUAAAAUUACUACUCAUCCAGUUCCAAUGGCUUGAAAUACUUGCCCUCAAGGAGAUAGGUGCCAAUGCUUAAACGAACUGCCCAUACAUCCUUUGGCUUCCUUGAAAUAAUUCUGCACAAACCUUCACUGUUCAAUAACCACAAAUUAAAUAAAGAACAAGAAUCAUACUUUAGUAACACAAAUAGGUUCACGUGUUACAUUUUUAAUGUUACCAAGUGCGGUGAUGAUGCAUAUUUUGCCACAAAGGGCAUCUUACCUUCCAACAUCACCAGGCUUGACCAAGCCAGAAUUAGCCCUAAGGCAUGGAACUGAGGCUGCUGUUUUGAUCAUUUUAGGAGCCUCAAUGACAAUAACAGGUGACCCUAUUGCAAGUUUUGAUCUUCUUAUAUCCGAUUCCCCGGAUGACUCUUUUGAUUCACACUUUAUUUGCAAAUUCAGUUUCCGGGCUUCAGUGUUUAAUCUGUUGAAUUGCAAGUUUGAGCAAGCGAUUGAGGAAGUUGAAGAGAGGUUCAGUGCCAUGAGAGAAGAAAGGAUCCUGUGUUAGCGUAAUAAAAUGGGAUAAUAUUUCUGUGGUUCUAAGGCUGUAUUGUAUUCGGAUGAAGUUGGUUUGUUCUGUUUCUGCUGGUUAAGCUGUGGAUAUAGCGGUCUUUCAUAUAUGGGUACAGAUAAUAUUGCUUGUCA
rnacentral:lncRNA from 1 species